GAUGAACGCUGGCGGCGUGCCUAAUACAUGCAAGUCGAGCGAACGGACGAGAAGCUUGCUUCUCUGAUGUUAGCGGCGGACGGGUGAGUAACACGUGGAUAACCUACCUAUAAGACUGGGAUAACUUCGGGAAACCGGAGCUAAUACCGGAUAAUAUUUUGAACCGCAUGGUUCAAAAGUGAAAGACGGUCUUGCUGUCACUUAUAGCUGGAUCCGCGCUGCAUUAGCUAGUUGGUAAGGUAACGGCUUACCAAGGCAACGAUGCAUAGCCGACCUGAGAGGGUGAUCGGCCACACUGGAACUGAGACACGGUCCAGACUCCUGCGGGAGGCAGCAGUAGGGAAUCUUCCGCAAUGGGCGAAAGCCUGACGGAGCAACGCCGCGUGAGUGAUGAAGAUCUUCGGAUCGUAAAACUCUGUUAUUAGGGAAGAACAUAUGUGUAAGUAACUGUGCACAUCUUGACGGUACCUAGUCAGAAAGCCACGGCUAACUACGUG
rnacentral:rRNA from 1 species